GGGAAGCUGGACAAUCUUUCCAGGAUGGAUGGAGGUUUCCUUCUGCUGGGCCAGCUGCUGCUGCCUCCACCCCCAGCCUGCUGGGAACUUCUGGGAAGCCUAGAAUUGGACUUCCACACCCCAAACUUUGGCCAUGCCCUUCACACUCCUUACAUGGCCUGUUUCCUGGAUUUGCUGCAGCUGGGCUGUUUACUUCCAGCAUGACCCAGUGGCCUUGGGCCAGGGCAGCUCUGGGGCCGGCCCCUCGCCUUCACAGAAUGAGCCAGGCUGACCCGGCUGCAGGGCUGGCAGCUGUGGGCCACUCAGGAGGGCAAGGCCCAGUGCCCAAGGGGAUAAAUAAUAGGUACGUGGCACCUCUGCGCUCCAGGUACAGUGCUGGGCAAGCCCCAUAGACAGGGCCACUUGCUGUCCAGCUGUGUAAGUGCUUCUUGCCUCUGCUGACCAGUGGAUCCACGUGUGAGCGCCGAGGGAGGCAGAAACAGGAGCCGGCACUGGGACCCUGCUAGCAACCCUAUUGGCAGAUAUAAAUACCAUACCUCUUUAAAAGCAGAGGAGACCGAAGCACAUGGAAGGUAGGCGAGCUGCUCCAGGUGGAGCUGGGACACGAAGCCAAGCAGUUUGGCCUUAUGGAUGAAGACACGCAGAUUUAUCGAGGUCCUGCUGUGCAGCAGCUGUGCCAGGCCCCGUGAGCAGCGGUGAGAGGUGCGGUUCACAAGCCUGACCUCAGGGAGACGCCAUCCAGUCAGGGAGUGAGACCGAAGCUAGUGGAGGGAGGAGGAGGAAGGGGGGGAGGCACCUGGUCAGCUCCCCAGACGGUUUCAGAGCCUUGGGACACAGGUGGAAGAACAGGGACCAGGGGAAGGUGAUGACUCCCUUUGGGUCCCACUGAGUUUGAAAGGGCCGUGCAGUGUCCAGGCAAUGCCGGGUGGCCGCGCCGGAAGCUCCAGCAGAGCUCGGGGCCUGGGAUGGACACUAGAGACCGUCCUUGUAAAGAGACGGGUUGAGCUGGGGGAACAGGCGAGGGGCACAGGAGGGAUGUGCAGGCGAAGCUGCAGGUCUGGCUGAGAAGGAGGGGCUGCAGAGCGAGGAGGAAAGCCGGGGCGCGCAGUGACCCCGGGCCAGAGUGCCUGCCAGAGGACUGAACAAGACUCGCUGUCAUCAGCAACAGGGACAUGCUUAUCGAGAUGGAGUUUAGGUGGGUGCUGGGGGCAGAGGCCAGAACACAGCAGGUGGGGAAGGAGGCACAUUGUCUUCGAGAAGCGGGGCUGUGAAGGAGAAGAGAGGCCUGGAGCUUGCGGGAAGGGCGGGCGCCCACUUUCAAAUUCCUAUCAUUUUGACCAUCGGAGGAACUGGAAGAUGGGGGAAGCCCCAAGAUAUUUCCCCACGAAGCUGCCAGAGACCGUUUCCUCCAGCGGUUAAUUCCACUUCCUCUGCUGCCACACCCACCAUCUGCGCCUCUCCUCCCAGCCACGGCUUCUCUGAUCUCGUGCAGACCUCUCACCUGGCUUGACCGCGG